AAUCUAUGGAUAGGACAUUUCUUCAGCAAUUCUUUGAAUCUCUUCCAAGCCUCAUACAAACUUUCAUCCUCCAUUUGCUUUAAUGAAGCCAGAUUGUUUCGCAGCUU